UACGUAGGUGGCAAGCGUUGUCCGGAUUUAUUGGGCGUAAAGCGCCCGCAGGCGGCUUGAUAAGUUUCAGGUGAAAUCUCCCGGCUCAACCGGGAGGGUGCCUGGAAAACUAUCAGGCUUGAGUCAUGGAGAGGGAUGUGGAAUUCCCGGUGUAGUGGUGAAAUGCGCAGAUAUCGGGAGGAACACCGGUGGCGAAGGCGGUUCUCUGGGCCUGACCUGACGCUGAGGAGCGAAAGCGUGGGGAGCGAACAGG
rnacentral:rRNA from 1 species